rnacentral:lncRNA from 1 species
UAGGCUCCUAUGCUUUCGAAAGUACGGGAGGCCUCGUGCUUGUAAGUUGUUUUCGAUGAUGGGACAUCCGAUUCGGCGAUCGGUUCCGUUAAACUUGAUCUACGCUAUUGGAACUAUUUAGAAACCAAAUUUCAUAAUUUUUUAAUUUCGUUUGUCUAGUGAAUGAGUAGCCUCAAAAUGAAUGGCUGAAAAUAAAAAUAUCAUAAAAAACAGUGAUAAAUAACUUAAAUUUCAAAUCGGAAGUAUUGUUCUUGUUCUUGAUAUUAAGUAGAAUUUUUUAUUAAAGUUUCAUAUAAUUUGGAUAUUUUUACACCGUUGAACUUAAAAAUGUGCCACAUCGGCCGUUAAAAUAGUCAUUUUGAGACCCUGUGAUCGCUUGGUAAAUGAUGUUGAAAAAUUAUAAAAUUUGGUUUCUAGAUAAUUCCAAUAGCAUAGAUUAUACCUAACGGAGCCGAUCGUCAAAUCGGAUGUCCUAUCAUCGAAAACAACUUACAAGUACGGAAGCCUCCGUACUUUCGAAAGCAUG